rnacentral:rRNA from 1 species
UCGGGAAUUUUGGGCAAUGGGGGAAACCCUGACCCAGCAACGCCGCGUGAAGGAUGAAGUAUUUCGGUAUGUAAACUUCGAAAGAAUAGGAAGAAUAAAUGACGGUACUAUUUAUAAGGUCCGGCUAACUACGUGCCAGCAGCCGCGGUAAUACGUAGGGACCAAGCGUUGUUCGGAUUUACUGGGCGUAAAGGGCGCGUAGGCGGCAUGACAAGUCACUUGUGAAAUCUCUGGGCUUAACCCAGAACGGCCAAGUGAUACUGUCGCGCUAGAGUGCAGAAGGGGCAAUCGGAAUUCUUGGUGUAGCGGUGAAAUGCGUAGAUAUCAAGAGGAACACCUGAGGUGAAGACGGGUUGCUGGGCUGACACUGACGCUGAGGCGCGAAAGCCAGGGGAGCAAACGGGAUUAGAUACCCGUGUAGUCCCUGAGCGGGCUGGCAAGGCGCAU